AUUGAACGCUGGCGGAAUGCUUUACACAUGCAAGUCGAACGGCAGCACGGACUUCGGUCUGGUGGCGAGUGGCGAACGGGUGAGUAAUGUAUCGGAAAGUGCCCAGUCGUGGGGGAUAACGUAGUGAAAAUUACGCUAAUACCGUAUACGAUCUAUGGAUGAAAGCGGGGGAUCGCAAGACCUCGCGCGAGUGGAGCGGCCGAUAUCAGAUUAGGUAGUUGGGGGGGUAAAGGCCCACCAAGCCGACGAUCUGUAGCUGGUCUGAGAGGACGACCAGCCACACCGGAACUGAGACACGGUCCAGACUCCUACGGGAGGCAGCAGUGGGGAAUUUUGGACAAUGGGCGAAAGCCUGAUCCAGCCAUUCCGCGUGCAGGAUGAAGGCCCUCGGGUUGUAAACUGCUUUUGUACAGAACGAAAAGGUUUCUACUAAUACUAGGAGCUCAUGACGGUACUGUAAGAAUAAGCACCGGCUAACUACGUGCCAGCAGCCGCAGUAA
rnacentral:rRNA from 1 species